UUUUUUUUUUUUUUUUUUUGAUUUUUCGGGGGGUUUCCUAAAAAACCGGGGAAAACUCACGAAACGCAUUAGUCCCCGAAUCGUUUUCCGUUAGCCACGAUCAAUCGUCGCGCACGGAUUAGACACGUUAAAUUUCCCCUCCACUCCGCCAACUUUUCGCCGACAACGGUGGCCCCCUCCCCCUAACCGUCGCGCAAAGCGUGCCAUUCGGGGUUUUUCGUCGGUACCGGGUUUUCGGAGCGGCACUGAAAAUUAAUGUGCGUUCGAAAUUGGUGUCUCCAUUCGUAAUAGACACCUAUGUUUCGGACGAUGUUCAAACGGAAUUAUACGAGUGCCUGGCGGGAGGGGGAGGGGGUCGAGACCCCCACCCGUAAAUCGGCCGCUGUUUUCGGU